rfam:Myotis lucifugus cont2.39144, whole genome shotgun sequence.
GUUUUAGUAUAAGUAGGUUUCAUGCAAUAUUUGGAACAUACUUUUACUAAAA